rnacentral:lncRNA from 1 species
UGUUUUUGUUUUUGUUUUGCUAUUUUUAUUCCUGUUGUUACUGUUGUUACUGUUAUUACUAUUCUUUUCCCCUCCUAUAGUUUCUUAUUUCCCAUACCUCCUACUGAGGAGGUGACGGAUCAUCUGCCUCUGAAGGUAACAACACAGCUAUGCAAAACAGCUUAGCCCAUGGAGGCUGCAAGGAUUCCAUCAGCUAUCACUACUUUUGCAUAAAAAAGGUAUCUCGAAAGUAUGUCACUGUGAGUCAUAUUCCAAAUACUGGAAGAAUGCUGAUGGCACUAGUGAAAUCCAGAACUGAAGCUGCAGUGCUCUCAAGCUGA